CAGAGAGCAAAUUAGAAUCCAAGGAAGUUGACAUGUCAUCACUUCAUUUUUUUGCGCCUGCGCAUAAAUCUGAGAAACAAACCACAUUUGUUCCGGACCUGGGAUGCCUUCCGGACCUGGGAUGCCUGCCAUCUGAUGGAGAUAAUCAAAGGUUAAUGACUUGGAGAAGAUCUGCAAAGAGGAGUGGGACAAAAUCCCUCCUGAGAUGUGUGCAAACCUGGUGGCCAACUACAAGAAACAUCUGACCUCUGUGAUUGCCAACAAGGGUUUUGCCACCACGUACUAAGUCAUGUUUUGCAGAGGGGUCAAAUACUUAUUUCCCUCAUUAAAAUGCAAAUCAUUUUAUAACAUUUUUGACAUGCGUUUUUCUGGAUUUUUUUGUUGUUAUUCUGUCUCUCACUGUUCAAAUAAA
rnacentral:lncRNA from 1 species